UUGCUUCACAGGCAGGUGUGCACUCAGCUCACGCAGGUCAAACACAGCUCCGCACAUCCUCCCCUCUGGUCGCAAACGCUCACUGCAAUUGUUGUCUGCGUGUUGGGGAAACCUUUACAUGUUUAUUUA